rnacentral:lncRNA from 1 species
AGCCUCAAAUUUCAUUUCAGUAGGUGAUGGGUCUCCACUGAAAGUUCGAUUAGGUCAAACCAUUAACAUGAAUCUACUCAAUGAUUCUACCUAAUGAGUGAUCAGGAUCGAGGAUGGCUCGAUCAAUCCAACCAUCAUCAGAUAGUUCAACAGAGUCAUCAUAUGAUGAAUGUUAAUUCUAUCAUUCAGAGAGAACAUC